AAGAGAUAAGUGCUGAAAGCAUCUAAGCACGAAACUUGCCCCGAGAUGAGUUCUCCCUGAGACUUAGAGUCUCCUGAAGGAACGUUGAAGACGACGACGUUGAUAGGCCGGGUGUGUAAGCGCAGCGAUGCGUUGAGCUAACCGGUACUAAUGAACCGUGAGGCUUAACCUUACAACGCCGAAG
rnacentral:rRNA from 2 species